AUAAUACUCCCUCUGUCCGGAAUUACUUGUCUUCAAAAUGGAUGUGUCUAGAACUAAAAUACAUCUAGAUACAUCCAUUUCAAUGACAAGUAUUUUCGGACGGAGGGAGUAGUAG
rnacentral:pre_miRNA from 1 species